GGGGAUGCAAUGGUUUCGACGUUGGUAUAUAAGCAGAAUAAGCGAGUAGCGGCGGGCGCCGCUUUAAAAGCCCAAUUUUUAAAUUUAAACGCUAACGAUAAUUUAGCUUACGCUGCCUAAUUAGUGCAGCCGUCCUUCCCCCGAGAACCGCAUAGGGGAUAAAGGGCGUCAAUUUUGCGGUGAACACGAGCGGGUAACGCCUUAAUUCCCGCCGGGUAUUAUCAGGCUACCGAACAGAAAGGCUUGCGUACGUGCCGUUCUGCAAGGGAAUUUUUAAACAUACGAUACACUCGUAGAAAGUUCUGUGGAGUAUUGGCGGACAGGAGUUCGAUUCUCCUCAUCUCCACCA
rnacentral:tmRNA from 1 species